UGAGCUACAUAGUGAAUUCCAGACCAGCUU
rnacentral:piRNA from 1 species